UCCGAUUCUUCAUCGGCAGUCUCCUUGGAGUCCCCACCAUUACGUGAUGGCAACCAAGGACAAGGGUUGCGCUCGUUACGGGACUUAACCCAACAUCUCACAACACGAGCUGACGACAGCCAUGCAGCACCUGUCUCACGGUUCCUUGCGGCACUCCAGCAUCUCUGCCAGAUUCCGUGGAUGUCAAGGGUAGGUAAGGUUCUUCGCGUUGCAUCGAAUUAAACCACAUGCUCCACCGCUUGUGCGGGCCCCCGUCAAUUCCUUUGAGUUUUAACCUUGCGGCCGUACUCCCCAGGCGGAGAACUUAUCGCGUUAGCUUCGAUACUAACAGGUCCAAGCCUGCCAACAUCCAGUUCUCAUCGUUUACAGCGUGGACUAC
rnacentral:misc_RNA from 1 species